rnacentral:rRNA from 1 species
GGCGAAGGUGGCGAGCGUUGUUCGGAAUCACUGGGCUUAAAGCGCAUGUAGGCGGCCUGUCAAGUGUCUUGUGAAAUCCCCCGGCUCAACCGGGGAAUUGCUGGGCAAACUGAUGGGCUUGAGGCAGGUAGGGGCGAGUGGAACUCUUGGUGGAGCGGUGGAAUGCGUAGAUAUCAAGAGGAACGCCGGAGGUGAAGACGGCUCGCUGGGCCGGUCCUGACGCUGAGAUGCGAAAGCCAGGGGAGCAAACGGG